GACGAACGCUGGCGGCGCGCUUAACACAUGCAAGUCGAACGGAAAGGCCUGCUUUCCCUUGUGGAUUGCGGGUACUCGAGUGGCGAACGGGUGAGUAACACGUGAGUGAUCUGCCCCCAACUUGGGUAUAAGCCUGGGAAACUGGGUCUAAUUCCCGAUAGGACUGCAGGGUGGUGCCUGUGGUGGAAAACGAUUUUCUAGUGGUUGGGGAUGAGCUCGCGGCCUAUCAGCUUGUUGGUGGGGUAAUGGCCUACCAAGGCGGCGACGGGUAGCCGGCCUGAGAGGGUGGACGGCGACAUUGGGACUGGGAUACGGCCCAGACUCCUACGGGAGGCAGCAGUGGGGAAUAUUGCACAAUGGGCGGAAGCCUGAUGCAGCGACGCAGCGUGGGGGAUGACGGCCUUCGGGUUGUAAGCUCCUUUCGACCGCGAGGAAGCCACCUGGUUGGAAGGGUGGUGACGGUAGUGGUAGAAGAAGCACCGGCUAACUACGUG
rnacentral:rRNA from 1 species